rnacentral:rRNA from 1 species
UUGCCUACGGGAGGCAGCAGUGGGGAAUAUUGGGCAAUGGGCGCAAGCCUGACCCAGCAACGCCGCGUGAAGGAAGAAGGCUUUCGGGUUGUAAACUUCUUUUGACAGGGAAGAGCAGAAGACGGUACCUGUCGAAUAAGCCACGGCUAACUACGUGCCAGCAGCCGCGGUAAUACGUAGGUGGCAAGCGUUGUCCGGAUUUACUGGGUGUAAAGGGCGUGUAGCCGUGCUUACAAGUCAGAUGUGAAAUCCGGGGGCUCAACCCCCGAACUGCAUUAGAACCCCGGUAUCCAAGAUCGGAAGAG